GGCGCCCGGCAGAGUCCCUCCGGGAGGGGUCAUCCUUUUCUCUUUCUGUCUCCUGUUACAAAACCAAACUCUCACCACCUCCUUCUCCAGCUGUAAGCUGUCCGCGAGGGAGGUGAUCUCCUGGGCCGAGGGCUUAGGGCAUUUGAGGAAAUGGCUCUCCAGAGCCCCCUUGACGCUCACCUCGAUGGAGGUCCGCUUUUUCCGUUUGCGCCCUUGCGCUGCGAUCUUGUCUAUGCUGGUGGGGCUGCCCGAGGAUGAGUCUGCCUCUUCCAACCACUUGUUCAACAAAGGCUUCAGCUUGCACAUGUUCUUGAAGCUCAGCUGCAGGGCCUCAAACCUGCAGAUGGUGGUCUGCGAGAACACGUUGCCGUACAGGGUGCCAAGCGCCAGCCCCACGUCUGCUUGAGUAAAUCCGAGUUUGAUCCGCC
rnacentral:lncRNA from 1 species